CUACGUGCCAGCAGCCGCGGUAAUGCGUAGGUGGCAAGCGUUGUCCGGAAUUAUUGGGCGUAAAGCGCGCGCAGGCGGAUUGGUCAGUCUGUCUUAAAAGUUCGGGGCUUAACCCCGUGAUGGGAUGGAAACUGCCAAUCUAGAGUAUCGGAGAGGAAAGUGGAAUUCCUAGUGUAGCGGUGAAAUGCGUAGAUAUUAGGAAGAACACCAGUGGCGAAGGCGACUUUCUGGACGAAAACUGACGCUGAGGCGCGAAAGCCAGGGGAGCGAACGGGAUUAGAUACCCCGGUAGUCCUGGCCGUAAACGAUGGGUACUAGGUGUAGGAGGUAUCGACCCCUUCUGUGCCGGAGUUAACGCAAUAAGUACCCCGCCUGGGGAGUACGACCGCAAGGUUGAAACUCAAAGGAAUUGACGGGGGCCCGCACAAGCGGUGGAGUAUGUGGUUUAAUUCGACGCAACGCGAAGAACCUUACCAGGUCUUGACAUUGAUGGACAGAACUAGAGAUAG
rnacentral:rRNA from 1 species